CUCGCCAGCGUCGUGGUUCUACGCAUCAUCGUGAAUAGGAGCCCCUGUGCUGCGCAAUCGAAGGUAAUAGCAUCAUCAUAUGGCUUGCUUCCUUCUCUAUUGCGCAUAGCGUCCGUUAGCAGGAAGAACGGGUCCCGGAUGGCCGGGGCGUCUGCUCGCCGGCGCGGUGCCGCCGCGGUUGGGGACGCCGCCGCGGUCUAGGGGCGUUGGUUGAGGGAGUAAUGGGAAGCGUAGAUUUAUUGACGAUCAGCCUGGAUUAGAUGUUAGGGUGUUGCGCCGGGCGCCAUUGAUCCCGCGGGCUUCUGAUCGGACGGCCGAAUUUCUCUAUACCCCUUCGACCGUGGCAAAAUUCUUAAAGAGCCCCUGAUCUUCACAGUACUCAACCCGCCGUCCUCGGCCGAUGUAAAGUAAUUGCUAUUGAGCCCUGUAUAUUUAUAAACUAGCCCAUGUACUCUUUAGAAUUUGUAGCAGCAGUCCAUAGCCUUUGUUUUCGGUAAAUAGAAUUUUAGAAAAUGAUUUAUAAUAUAGAAUAAUCUUAGAUAAUUCAUAACUUCUCCAUUUUAACCCCUUUUUUUAACCCAUUCCAGUUGUAAUAAUUUUUUUAUAUUGUCUAUCAACUUGUAACACUGUUUAGCCAUGAAACUUGAAUUAAAAUUAUUCAUUAAGAUUAAUCUAUUCUAAGUACUGAAUAAUUUCAGAAGUUAAUAACUUAAUGACUGUAACUUCGAAUUUAGUGGUUCUUGUUUCUGCGAUCUCGUAGCAACGUGUAGAAUAUUAUUAUUUAGUCUGCUCUUAUGUUUGGUGUGAUGUUAAUUUUGUCUAUACCAUGUAUGUUUGUAUUACUACGACUAGCAGUGAGAACACGUGUCAUCUAAAGAGCAAGUUGGUACCUGGAAUCUCAAGUCCCAGGCAAGUUGUGCCCUUGAUCACUUCUUUUACCCACUCAUGUUCUAAUUAAUCAUAAUGAUCUGCAUAGGUUAAUUUUGAUGGGACCUAAUAGGUUACCCUAGUUUGUCUAUCUUUAUGCCUUGUUUACCACUGAACUUUUUGGGUAGUACUUGCUAGUGCUAUAUGUGGUUUUGGGCAUUGAGAUACACAUUAUUCAUGAUUAUACUUUUGUUAUCCGUUGUUAGUUACUGUUCAUGUCAAGAUCAUUAAUGUUAAUUGGAACAUAGAGCUUACCUUGAGAAACACGUGCCACCACAAGGGUUUAUGGACACCCUUGGCUGAUUAAUUAGGAAAGCUAGUGGAGGACUACCUUACCCGAAAGGGCAAGGGCAGUAGGGGAGUGGUCAGUGUAGGGAGGUCCUUGGUUGAUUUUGCUGCGAUGGCGGUCAGACAAGAACCCUGCAUUGGAGCUUCCUAUAAACUGUAGCGAGUUUUCUGAAGCUAGUGGAACUCUGUAAAGGCCUCGUAGGUACCGCAGGAUGAGCUCGUAUGUGAGCGAUGAACGUAUGUGAGCUCACUCUUGCUGUCUCACACCCCCCCACAGGUCAAGAACAGGUACCGCAGGAUGAGGCGCAUGGAGGAUGCUGCGAUGAGUUCGUGAGAGAGAUCUAGGCCGUCGUCUCCCAGUCAACUUUGGGUUGCUGGACCGGUGUCUCCUUAUAAUGUAAUUAUUUAUUUUGUAUAGAACUCCUGUUAUGUAGUAAAGAUGUGACAUUCGAUCCUGUGCCAUGAUUCAUCAUAUGUGUGAGACUUGGUCCCAGCACACCUGGUGAUUAUGUUCGCGCCCGGGCUUUGGACCCCUAAAACCCGGGUGUGACAACCAUGAAGUGGCCUUUAACACUCUUAAGCAGUCCCUGUCUUCAGCCCCAGUUUUAGCUCUGCCCAAUUUCGCAAUGCCCUUUGCUAUUGAGUUUGAUGCCUCGAGUUUGGGGAUUGGUGCGGUGCCGUUACAAGACGGUCAUCCUCUAGCCUUUGUCAGCAAAGCACUUGGGUCCAAAACUAAAGGCCUUUCGACUUAUGAAAAUGAGUAUUUAGCAAUUAGUCUUCCAGUCACUCAGUGGAGACAAUAUUUACAACAUUCGGAAUUUCUCAUCUAUACUGAUCAUAGAAGUUUAUCCCAUCUUACAGAGCAGAAGUUGCAUAGGCAGCAGAAAAUGUUUUUCAAACUAUUAGGGUUGCAGUACCGAGUGGUAUAUAAGAAAGGAGUGGAAAAUGGGGCAGCCGACGCAUUGUCUCGCAGACCGGCCACCGAAGCUAUGUUGUGUAGUGUAUCCUCUUCGGUGCCUCAAUGGCUUAUUAAGGUGUUAGACAGCUACAACCAAGACCCUCAAGCCCAAAAAAUACUGACUGAACUUGUGGUCCAACAAGACAAUUCUGCACCUUAUUCCAUACAGUCGGGUAUAAUUCGUUACAAAGGCCGAGUUUGGGUUGGCAAUGAUUCUCAUCUUCAGCAUAACAUCAUAGCUGCAUUGCAUGACAGUCCCUUGGGAGGACAUUCUGGAUUUGUAGUUACCUAUCAGCGUGUUAAACAGUUGUUCUCUUGGAAAGGUAUGAAAGAUCAGAUCAAGUAUUACGUUGUUGGUUGUUCUGUACGUCAUCAGUCUAAGCCUGACAGAAGCAAAUAUCCUGGACUUCUUCAACCUGUACCAGUGCCUGAGCAGUCUUGGCAAGUCAUAAGUAUGGACUUUGUGGAAGGGCUUCCUCGAUCCCGUAAUGCUGAUACUAUCUUAGUGGUGGUGGAUGUUUUUUCUAAAUACACCCAUUUCUUGCCAUUGCUUCACCCUUAUACUGCACUCAAAGUGGCUCAAGUCUUUAUGGAUUCAGUUUACAAGUUGCAUGGGUUGCCUCAUUCCAUAAUAUCAGACUAGGAUAAAAUCUUUACAAGCCACUUUUGGCAGGAGCUGUUUCGGUUGUCGGGCAUAGCCUUGAAGAUGAGUUCUUCGUAUCAUCCUCAAACGGAUGGUCAAACUGAAAGACUUAAUCAAUGUUUGGAGACAUUUUUCUUCGCAGCUUUGUGCACGCAUGUCCUUCCAAAUGGUUAUCAUGGUUGGCAUUGGCAGAGUACUGGUAUAAUACCAGCUUCCAUUCUUCAUUGGGCAUUACUCCUUUUGAGGUAAUGUAUGGUCGACAUCCUAGACAUCUGGGUAUCUCUAUGGUCGAUGUGUCCACAACAAAUGAUUUACAUGCUUGGAUGCAAGACCGGGAAUUGAUGGUAUGACUGGUCAGACAACAUCUUCUACGGGCUCAGCAAAGGAUUAAAACUCAGGCUGAUAAAGGAAGGACAGAUCGUGAGUUCUACGUGGGGGAUUCAGUAUACCUCAAACUUCAGCCAUAUGUACAGAGCUCUGUUGCUCGCCGCGCCAAUCACAAGCCAAGCUUUAAGUAUUUUGGCCCCUACACUGUUUUACAGUGCAUUGGCAAGGCAGCUUACAAAUUGCUUCUGCCACCGUCCACUUCUAUACAUCCUAUCUUUCAUGUGUCUCAACUCAAACAAUCCUUGGGUCCUAAUCAGGUGGCUGCUGUCCUUCCAGAUCAGAUUGAUCCUUUACAAGUUUCUCAGCAGAUAUUGGAUCGACGUCUUAUCAAUAGGGGCAACCAUCAGGUGUCCCGGGUUUUGAUCAAAUGGUCCAACCUUGACGCAUCUCUUUCUACAUGGGAGGAUGAAGUAGCGCUUCGUGCAAGGUUUCCUUCAGCUGCUGCUUGGGGUCAAGCAGCUUUUCAAGGCGGAGGUAAUGUCAGCAACCCGGACACAUAGGAGCAGGCAAGCACGGGAGAAGCCAUGACGGCUGAGCCAGGACGAAGGAUGGGCCGGCGCAGCCGAAGGCCUAGUUCCAGGAUCGCGGGAGCAGAGUGGAUUCGUUAAGCACCAAGGCCCAAAUACCUCAUUGCUAGCUAGAGGCUAGCUGUAAUAAAUAGAAGAGACUUGUAACAGGAAAACAGUUUUGAUUCAGUAAUCGAAAUUCAUAGCCGCGGCCACAGCGGCGACAGCUUCUCCGGCUCAUCGUCGGUGAACCAACAGUGGUUGCUGACAUGCUUGUUGACACUUUUUUUGAGGAAUCAACGUGGAGAGGGCGAGGAGCCCCACCUGAACAUUGUUGACACUAGUACUGGUAUCCCAAUAUAUGGAAUUGCUAAGUUUCAAUUAGUUCUUUGGGUUUGAAGGGAACCCAUGUACACUUUGUUCAUGUUGUUCUGGAUUGCUUUCUGUUAGUUGGAUUGCUACCAUUUUACAUGACGUAGGAGAUAACCACACAAUCUAUUAGAUACAACAUCUAGACUACCAAAUAUACUCUUAACACAUAUGACAGUCUACGAGACACAAUAUCUAGACUACCAGAUGCACGAAACACAAUUUCUGAGUUCACUCAAAGGAAUUAGCCUGAGAUGGACAACUCCUUGUUCCAUUCCCAUGAAUCUGCAGUAAAGCAGGGAGUCAGGUAGCCUGGAGAGGAAGCACUCCAACACUGUUCAUAUAAAAGGACAACGAAUUCAGCAAGAGCAGGGAAGAGUUGAUGCUGCUCAACAUGACCACACAUGAGGCACACCAAUCUCUGCCUUUCAAGAAUCAGUAAAAUGGUAUCUGCAAGAUGUGUUACUCUGCAUUCGCUUGUUGUGAAACACAUAUAUAGUUGCAAAAAUGUAGUGGUGAGAAUCUAGAACUCUGUCAAACAGUGACAGAUCUAGUAAUGAAUUUAAAAGAAGGAAUAGUAGGAUAAGACUUGUUAUUCCGAUAUCGAGCCAAGGGAGAGCGCUGCAACGAUGUCCCCACAUGCUUGGCGUGCUGCAGCUUGCACCCACGCGGCAGCAUGGGUGUGCAGUGCGUUGGCCACCGAGCCGUAUGUUGCGGCGCUGGUGUUAGAGUACCCAUUAGGGUUUUAGGUAUUUUCUGUGUAAUUACCCUCUCGCUCCUACUAUAAUGGGUAUGGCUUAACUAUCGAGUCUAUUAAUACAUUUUCAACCCACUCAGGGGUUUGAGUUUCCCACACGGUCUCCUCCUUCGACCAUUCUCGACGUCGGAGCUUGUGGUCUACACCAACGCCGACUGAGCCGGCUGCCCCGACACGCGCCGAUACACCUCCAGCUAUACCGUAUUCCUGGGCGCCAACCUCGUCUCCUGGGCUGCCAAGCGGCAGCCCGUCGUCUUCCGCUCCAGCGCAGAGGCCGAGUACCACGCUGUAGCCAACGGCGUGGCAGAGGCCUCCUGGAUGCGCCAGCUCCACCACGAGCUCCACGACCCCUUCAGCGCGCCACCCUCGUCUACUGCGACAACGUCAGCGCCGUCUAUCUCUCCACCAAUCCCGUGCAGCAUCAGCGCACGAAGCAUGUACUAUGGAGAUCGACAUGCACUUCGUUUGGGAGCGUGUCGCUGCAGGUGACGUUCGGGUCCUCAGCGUCCCCAUAACGCUGCAGUUCGCUGACAUAUUCACCAAGGAGCUACUGUCGAGUGUAUUCCUAGACUUUUGCUCCACUCUCAAUAUCUGUACAUGAAAGGGAAAUGUGCCCUUGGGCUAUUUCUAAGUAUUUUGGUGAUUUAGUGUCCAACACAAGUGCCUAAGUGUAAAAUGUGGACAAAGUACAAAUCAAGGAUAAAGGUAUGUUUCUCAGACUUAGUACAUUGUUUUAGUGACUAAUGUAUUGUGUCUAAGUGUUGGAAACAGGAAAAAUCGAAUUGGAAAUGAGAUGGCUUUGUUCAGCCAAAGUCUGCUCAGUCUGGGAGCACCGGACUGUCCGGUGGUGCAUCGGACAGUGUCCGGUGCGCCAGGCUGGCUCUGGCGAACAGGCCGCUCUCGGGAAUUCAUCGGCGACGUACGGCUAUAAUUCACCGGACUGUCCGGUGUGCACCGGACUGUCCGGUGAGCCAACGGUCGGCCGAGCCAACGGUCGGCCGCGCGAUCUGCGCGGGACACGUGGCUGAGCCAACGGCUAGAAGGGGGCACCGGACUGUCCGGUGUGCAUCGGACAUGUCCGGUGCGCCAACGGCUCUCAGACUGCCAACGUCGACUGCGCCAUUUAUGGAAAGAAAUCGGGCACCGGACAUGUCCGGUGUGCACCGGACUGUCCGGUGCUCCAGUCGACAGAAGGCAAGAUCAACCUUCCUAGAUUGCUCUCAACGGCUCCUAGCUGCCUUGGGGCUAUAAAAGGGACCCCUAGGCGCAUGGAGGAGUACACCAAGCAUCCUUUGAGCACUAUUGAUCACUCACACAUCAUUCUUGCGCACUUGUUCGCCAUUCUAGUGAUUUGAGCCUCGUUCUAGUGUGCUAGUCUUUUGAGCUCAAGUCUGAGUCUUGUGUGUGCGUAGUUGCUGUGAUCUUUGUGUCUUGUGUGAGUUGCUCAUCCCUCCCUUACUCCGUGAUUCUUUGUGAACAUCAAAAGUGUAAGGGCGAGAGGCUCCAAGUUGUGGAGAUUCCUCGCGAACGGGAUAAGAAAAGAAAAGCAAAACACCGUGGUAUUCAAGUUGAUCAUUGGAUCACUUGAGAGGAGUUGAGUGCAACUCUCGUCCGUUGGGACGCCACAACGUGGAGUAGGCAAGUUUUGUACUUGGCCGAACCACGGGAUAAACCACUGUGUCAUCUCUGUGUUGAUCUCUUUGAGGUUAUCGUAUUGUGCAAAUUCUUCUCUCUAGCCACUUGGUGAUUAUUGUGCUAACACUUAACCAAGUUUUGUGGCUUAAGUUUUAAGUUUUACAGGAUCACCUAUUCACCCCCCCUCUAGGUGCUCUCAAUUGGUAUCAGAGCCGUUCUCUUCACAAAGGGACUAACCGCUCGAAGAGAUGGAUCCUAAGAGGAAGGGUAUCAUGAUCAACGAUAAAGAGAAGGAAUCUUUCGUCAACGAGCCAAAGGAUGACAAGCCUACCGACUCGGGCUCGGGUCAUAGACGAAAAGAUGGGAAGAAGAAGAAGACAAGGCGCAUUAAGGAGAUCGUCUACUACGACGACAGUGAUGAGUCCACUUCUUCCCACAAGGAAAACGACAACAACGACUACGACAAACGAAAGACGGUUAACUCGAACUUUUCUUUCGAUUAUUCGCGUAUUCCUCAAAGUGCAAAUGCUCAUUUAUUAUCUAUUCCACUUGGUAAACCUCCUCAUUUUGAUGGAGAGGACUACGGAUUUUGGAGUCACAAAAUGCGUAGUCACUUGUUCUCUCUCCAUCCUAGUAUAUGGGAGAUUGUAGAGAGUGGAAUGCACUUUGAUAGUUCAGAUAGUCCCAUGUUCAUUAAUGAGCAAAUUCAUAAGAAUGCACAAGCUACUACUGUUCUUCUAGCUUCAUUGUGCAGGGAUGAAUACCACAAAGUGAGCGGCUUGGAUAACGCCAAGCAGAUCUGGGACACCCUCAAGAUUUCACAUGAGGGGAACGACAUCACCUUGCUCACCAAGAUGGAGUUGGUGGAGGGCGAGCUUGGACGAUUCGCGAUGAUAAGGGGCGAGGAGCCGACACAAACAUACAACCGGCUCAAGACCCUUAUCAACAAAAUAAGGAGCUACGGAAGCACGCGAUGGACGGACCACGACGUCGUCCGAUUGAUGCUAAGGUCCUUUACCGUUCUUGAUCCUCAUUUGGUGAAUAACAUUCGUGAGAAUCCCAGGUACACCAAAAUGUCGCCCGAAGAAGUCCUUGGAAAAUUCGUAAGCGGGCGAAUGAUGAUCAAGGAAGCGAGGUACGUGGACGACGCUCUAAACGGUCCAAUCAAUGAGCCUCAAACCGUUGCUCUCAAGGCAACAAGGAGCAAGGAGGCGUUACCCAGCAAGGUAGCACAAAUUGAGGCCGCUGGACUUAAUGAUGAAGAGAUGGCUCUCAUCAUCAAGAGAUUCAAGACGGCGCUUAAGGGUCGCAAGGGACAGCCAAGCAAGACCAAAGCCAAGGGGAAGCGCUCAUGCUUCAAAUGCGGUAAGAUUGGUCAUUUUAUUGCUAACUGUCCCGAUAAUGAAAGUGACCAGGAACACGGGAGCAAGAGGGAAAAGAAGAAAAAUUACAAGAAGGCCAAGGGCGAGGCACAUCUAGGAAAGGAGUGGGACUCGGAUUGCUCCUCCUCUGACUCCGACAAUGAAGGACUCGCCGCCACCGCCUUCAACAAGUCAUCUCUCUUCCCCAACGAGCGUCACACAUGCCUUAUGGCAAGAGAGAAAAAGGUAUGUAGUCGAAACUCUACUUAUGCUUCUUCAAGUGAGGACGAAUCUAGUGAUGAGGAUGAAAUAGAUUAUUCAUGUUUAUUUAAGGGCCUAGAUAGAACCAAGGUAGAUAAAAUUAAUGAAUUGAUUGAUGCCUUGAAUGAUAAGAAUAGGCUUUUAGAAAAACAAGAGGACUUGUUGUAUGAAGAACAUGACAAAUUUGUAGAAGCACAAAAAUCCCAUGCCUUAGAAGUUAAGAGAAAUGAAAUGCUUUCUUAUGAAUUAUCUUCUUGCCAUGAGACAAUUUCUAGCUUAAGGAGCAUUAAUGAUGAUUUGAAUGCUAAGUUAGAAAUAGCUAGUAAAUCAACAACUUGUGUAGAAAAUGUUGUUAUUUGUAAUAGAUGUAAAGAUUUUGAUAUUGAUGCUUGUAGUGAACACAUAGCUUCUAUUGCAAAGUUAAAUGAUGAAAUGGCUAGUCUUAAUGCCCAACUUAAGGCUAGCAGAAGUGAUUUUGAUAAACUAAAAUUUGCUAGGGAUGCCUACACGAUUGGUAGACACCCCUCAAUUAAGGAUGGGCUUGGCUUCAAAAGGGAAGCCAAGAACUUAACAAGCCAUAAGGCUCCCAUCUCCGCCAAGGAGAAAGGGAAGGCCCCUAUGGCAAGUAGUACUAAAAAGAAUCAUGCUUUUAUGUACAAUGAUAGAAGACAAUCUCAUAGGAGUUGUAAUGCGUUUGAUUCACAUGCCUAUGAUUCUUAUGCUAUGUAUUCUUCCAGUUCUUCCUAUAUGCAUAGUAGAGAUAUGCCUAGGAAAAAUAUUCAUCAUGUGCCUAGAAAGAAUAUUGUUCAUGCUCCUAGGAAAGUUAUGAAUGGACCCUCUACAAUUUAUCAUGCUUUAAAUGUUUCCUUUGCUAUUUGUAGAAAGGAUAAGAAGGUAAUUGCUAGGAAAUUAGGGGCAAAAUGCAAGGGUGAUAAAACUUGCAUUUGGGUUCCUAAGACAAUUUUGACUAACCUUGUAGGACCCAACAAGAGUUGGGUACCUAUGACCCAAGCCUAAAUUUGCCUUGCAGGUUUAUGCAUCCGGGGGCUCAAGCUAGAUUAUCGACAGCGGAUGCACAAACCAUAUGACGGGGGAGAAGGAGAUGUUUACCUCCUACGUCAAGAAUAAGGAUUCCCAAGAUUCAAUCAUAUUCGGUGAUGGGAACCAAGGCAAGGUGAAAGGUUUAGGCAAGAUUGCAAUAUCCAAUGAGCACUCUAUCUCUAAUGUGUUUUUAGUUGAGUCUCUUGGAUAUAAUUUACUAUCUGUCAGUCAAUUAUGUAAUAUGGGAUAUAAUUGUCUAUUUACAAAUGUAGAUGUGUCUGUCUUUAGAAGAUGUGAUGGUUCACUAGCUUUUAAGGGUGUACUAGACGACAAACUUUAUUUAGUUGAUUUUGCAAAAGAGGAGGCUGGUCUAGAUGCAUGCUUAAUCGCUAAGACUAGCAUGGGCUGGCUGUGGCAUCGCCGCUUAGCACAUGUGGGGAUGAAGAACCUUCACAAGCUUCUAAAGGGAGAACACGUGAUAGGUUUGACUAACGUGCAAUUCGAAAAAGAUAGACCUUGUGCAGCUUGUCAAGCAGGUAAACAAGUGGGAGGAGCACAUCACAGCAAGAAUGUGAUGACCACCUCAAGACCUCUGGAGUUGCUGCAUAUGGACCUCUUCGGACCUGUCGCCUAUCUGAGCAUAGGAGGAAGUAAGUAUGGUCUAGUUAUUGUUGAUGACUUUUCACGCUUCACUUGGGUGUUCUUUCUGCAGGAUAAGUCUGAAACUCAAGGGACCCUAAAGCGCUUCCUAAGGAGAGCUCAAAAUGAGUUUGAGCUCAAGGUGAAGAAGAUAAGAAGCGACAAUGGGUCCGAGUUCAAGAACCUUCAAGUGGAGGAGUUCCUUGAGGAGGAGGGGAUCAAGCACGAGUUCUCCGCUCCCUACACACCUCAGCAAAAUGGUGUGGUAGAGAGGGAGAACAGGACGCUCAUAGAUAUGGCGAGGACUAUGCUUGGAGAGUUCAAGACCCCCGAGCACUUUUGCUCGGAAGCCGUGAACACGGCUUGUCACGCCAUCAACCGGGUCUACCUUCACCGCCUCCUCAAGAAGACUUCAUAUGAGCUGCUAACUGGUAACAAACCCAAUGUAUCGUACUUUCGUGUAUUUGGGAGUAAAUGCUAUAUUCUAGUGAAGAAGGGUAGGAAUUCCAAAUUUGCUCCCAAGGCUGUAGAAGGGUUUUUAUUAGGUUAUGACUCAAAUACAAAGGCGUAUAGGGUCUUCAACAAAUCAUCGGGUUUAGUUGAAGUCUCUAGCGACGUUGUAUUUGAUGAGACUAAUGGCUCUCCAAGUGAGCAAGUUGUUGAUCUUGAUGAUGUAGAUGAAGAAGACGGUCCAACGGCCGCGAUACGCACCAUGGAGAUUGGAGAUGUACGGCCUCAGGAACAUUUGGAGCAAGAUCAACCUUCUUCCUCAACUAUGGUGCAUCCCCCAACCCAAGAUGACGAACAGGUACCUCAAGUGGAGGCGCAUGAUCAAGGGGGAGCACAGGAUGUUCAAGUCGAAGAGGAAGAAGCAUCACAUGCACCUCCAACCCAAGUUCGAGCGACGAUCCAAAGGGAUCAUCCAGUCGAUCAAAUUCUUGGUGAUAUUAGCAAGGGAGUAACUACUCGGUCUCGAUUAGUUAAUUUUUGUGAGCAUUACUCCUUUGUCUCUUCUAUUGAGCCUUUCAGGGUAGAGGAGGCCUUGCUAGAUCCGGACUGGGUGUUGGCCAUGCAAGAGGAGCUCAACAACUUCAAGAGGAAUGAAGUUUGGACGCUGGUGCCUCGUCCUAAGCAAAAUGUUGUGGGAACCAAGUGGGUGUUCCGCAACAAACAAGACGAGCACGGAGUGGUGACAAGGAACAAGGCUCGACUUGUGGCAAAAGGUUAUGCCCAAGUCGCAGGUUUGGACUUUGAGGAGACUUUUGCUCCUGUGGCUAGGCUAGAGUCCAUUCAUAUCUUGCUAGCAUAUGCCGCUCACCAUUCUUUCAGGUUGUUCCAAAUGGAUGUGAAGAGCGCUUUCCUCAACGGGCCAAUCAAGGAGGAAGUGUACGUAGAGCAACCCCCUGGCUUCGAGGAUGAACGGUACCCCGACCACGUGUGUAAGCUCUCUAAGGCGCUCUAUGGACUUAAGCAAGCCCCAAGAGCAUGGUAUGAAUGCCUUAGAGAUUUCUUAAUUGCUAAUGCUUUCAAGGUUGGAAAAGCCGAUCCAACUCUUUUCACUAAGACUUGUGACGGUGAUCUUUUUGUGUGCCAAAUUUAUGUCGAUGACAUAAUAUUUGGUUCUACGAAUAAAAAGUCUUGUGAAGAAUUUAGCAGGGUGAUGACGCAGAAAUUCGAGAUGUCAAUGAUGGGCGAGUUGAACUACUUCCUUGGGUUCCAAGUGAAGCAACUCAAGGAUGGCACCUUCAUCUCUCAAACGAAGUACACACAAGACUUACUGAAGCGGUUUGGGAUGAAGGACGCCAAGCCCGCAAAGACUCCGAUGGGGACCGACGGACACACUGACCUCAACAAAGGAGGUAAGUCCGUUGAUCAAAAGGCAUACCGGUCAAUGAUAGGGUCUUUACUUUAUUUAUGUGCUAGUAGACCGGAUAUUAUGCUAAGCGUAUGCAUGUGUGCUAGAUUUCAAUCCGAUCCUAAGGAAUGUCACUUAGUGGCAGUGAAGCGAAUCCUUAGAUAUUUAGUUGCUACGCCUUGCUUCGGGCUCUGGUAUCCAAAGGGGUCUACCUUUGACUUGAUUGGAUAUUCAGAUUCCGACUAUGCUGGAUGUAAGGUCGAUAGGAAGAGUACAUCGGGGACGUGCCAAUUCUUAGGAAGGUCCCUGGUGUCAUGGAAUUCUAAGAAACAAACCUCCGUUGCCCUAUCCACCGCUGAGGCCGAGUAUGUUGCUGCAGGAAAGUGUUGCGCACAACUACUUUGGAUGAGGCAAACCCUGAGGGACUUUGGCUACAAUCUGAGCAAAGUCCCACUCCUAUGCGAUAAUGAGAGUGCUAUCCGCAUGGCGGAAAAUCCUAUUGAGCACAGCCGCACGAAGCACAUAGACAUCCGGCAUCACUUUUUGAGAGACCACCAGCAAAAGGGAGAUAUCGAAGUGUUUCAUGUUAGCACCGAGAACCAGCUAGCCGAUAUCUUUACCAAGCCUCUAGAUGAGAAGACCUUUUGCAGGUUGCGUAGUGAGCUAAAUAUCUUAGAUUCGCGGAACCUGGAUUGAUUUAUAGCAUACAUGUGUUUAUGCCUUUGAUCAUUGUUCCCUAUGCAUUUUGUUGCUAAAUAAUGGUGCUCAAGUUGUACAAACACUCCCUGGACCUCACAAGUCCGUUGCAAAGUGAUGCACAUGUUUAGGGGGAGAUGUGUUACAACUUGACCAUUUGAGACUAACCAUGUGCUUGAGUUUGAUGAUUUAGUCUCGAAGAAGGAUUGAAAGGAAAAAGGUGGACUUGGACCAUGAAAGACUUCCACUGCACUCCGAUGAGAGGGUAACUUAUUCCAAGUUCAUCUCAUGUACUCUUAUUGCCUUUGUAUUCUUAUUGAAGAUUUUGGUAAGGCAAUGGGGUUCAAGGGCCAAGGUUAAUCCCGUUUUGGUGCUUGAUGCCAAAGGGGGAGAAAAUAAAGGCCAAAGCGAUAAAUGGAUCAGCUACCACUUGAGAGAUUUUGAAAAUAGUAGAAUAGAGCUUUUGGUUUGUCAAAACUCUUUUAUUGUCUCUCUUGUCAAAAGUUGGCUUCUUGUGGGGAGAAAUGUUGAUUAUGGGAAAAAGGGGAGUUUUUGAAAUCUUGAAUCAAUUUCUCUUGGAAUGACUCUCUUAACAUGUGUGUUUGACUUAGAGAUAGAAAUUUGAGUUUGAUUUGCAAAAACAAACCAAGUGGUGGCAAAGAGUAAUCCAUAUAUGUCAAAUUUGAAUCAAAUGAUUUGAGUCCUUGUUUGAAGUGAUAUUGUAUUUGUUCCACUUGCUUUAUAUUGUGUUGGCAUAAAUCACCAAAAAGGGGGAGAUUGAAAGGGAAAUGUGCCCUUGGGCCAUUUCUAAGUAUUUUGGUGAUUUAGUGUCCAACACAAGUGCCUAAGUGUAAAAUGUGGACAAAGUACAAAUCAAGGAUAAAGGUAUGUUUCUCAGACUUAGUACAUUGUUUUAGUGACUAAUGUAUUGUGUCUAAGUGUUGGAAACAGGAAAAAUCGAAUUGGAAAUGAGAUGACUUUGUUCAGCCAAAGUCUGCUCAGUCUGGGAGCACCGGACUGUCCGGUGGUGCACCGGACAGUGUCCGGUGCGCCAGGCUGGCUCUGGCGAACAAGCCGCUCUCGGGAAUUCAUCGGCGACGUACGGCUAUAAUUCACCGGACUGUCCGGUGUGCACCGGACUGUCCGGUGAGCCAACGGUCGGCCGGGCCAACGGUCGGCCGCGCGAUCUGCGCGGGACACGUGGCCGAGCCAACGACUAGAAGGGGGCACCGGACUGUCCGGUGUGCACCGGACAUGUCCGGUGCGCCAACGGCUCUCAGGCUGCCAACGGUCGACUGCGCCAUUUAUGGAAAGAAAUCGGGCACCGGACAUGUCCGGUGUGCACCAGACUGUCCGGUGCUCCAGUCGGCAGAAGGCAAGAUCAGCCUUCCUAGAUUGCUCUCAACGGCUCCUAGCUGCCUUGGGGCUAUAAAAGGGACCCCUAGGCGUAUGGAGGAGUACACCAAGCAUCCUUUGAGCACUAUUGAUCACUCACACAUCAUUCUUGCGCACUUGUUCGCCAUUCUAGUGAUUUGAGCCUCGUUCUAGUGUGCUAGUCUUUUGAGCUCAAGUCUGGGUCUUGUGUGUGCGUAGUUGCUGUGAUCUUUGUGUCUUGUGUGAGUUGCUCAUCCCUCCCUUACUCCGUGAUUCUUUGUGAACAUCAAAAGUGUAAGGGCGAGAGGCUCCAAGUUGUGGAGAUUCCUCGCGAACGGGAUAAGAAAAGAAAAGCAAAACACUGUGGUAUUCAAGUUGAUCAUUGGAUCACUUGAGAGGAGUUGAGUGCAACUCUCGUCCGUUGGGACGCCACAACGUGGAGUAGGCAAGUUUUGUACUUGGUCGAACCACGGGAUAAACCACUGUGUCAUCUCUGUGUUGAUCUCUUUGAGGUUAUCGUAUUGUGCAAAUUCUUCUCUCUAGCUACUUGGUGAUUAUUGUGCUAACACUUAACCAAGUUUUGUGGCUUAAGUUUUAAGUUUUACAGGAUCACCUAUUCACCCCCCCUCUAGGUGCUCUCAGUACAGGAUAGAGUUGAGACUACGGAGGUGUUAGAGUACCUAUUAGAGUUUUAGGUAUUUCCUAUGUAAUUACCCUCUCGUCCCUACUAUAAUGGGUCUGCCCCAACUAAUAAGUCUAUUAAAACAUUUCCUAACCGCACUCAGGGGUUAGGGUUUCCUAUAGCUGGUAUUGCUGCAGUGUUGUGGCAUGGAUGAGGGACAAGUGUGGGUCCACGUGCUGCUGUGUUGGUGAUGGCGUGCUCUAGCGACGUGCAAAGUGCUGGUGGCACGGGCAGGGUCGUGCUUGAGAUUUAACGGACUCUAGGCAAAAGCUUAUAUAUGGUCAUUUUAACCAUAUAUUUAUACAUAAUCUCUCUCUAUAUAUAAACACACAUUUUGAAAGGUACAACAUUAUUACAUUACUAAUGAGUAAAAAAGUUAUUUAAUUAGAAUUCACAAACCAUUAGCUGGCUCCCUAGCAGGCCAAAGCAAACAACAGGCCAAACGACAAUUAGCUGGCUCCCUAGCUGUCGUAUACAUGUAUGCGUAUGUGCGAACGUUGAUUGUCGAGCGUGUCUUCAGCCCUGUCCUUUGACAGCAUGGUAGAGACAUGAAUUAGGUUUUCUCAAUGUAGUCUGUUUUGACUUGGUACUUGGGAUUGGUUUGGCCAGGUUCGAUAAUGUCUAAGUUCGAUGAUGGCGUACUACUCAGGGUAGCAGGGCUAGACUACUGUAGCAUUAGGGCAACCAAGCCAACACUGAUUAGGCCGAUUAAACAACUAAGGGUAUGUUUAGUUCAGUUGUGGAUUUCAGAAAAUCUAAUUCUAGUUGUGAGCUGUAAAAAAGCUGCUGUGAGCUGAUAUUUUCAGGAAUUGAUUAUGUUGUUGUACCCGUUUGGUUGAGAUUUCAAAAUUUUGGUAGCAAAUAUAGUGUAGAAAACUGAACCAAAUACACUCUAAGUAUUAUACUUAAAUUUAUACUUAUAUACUUGAGUGGGGGCCUGGGCGGCCGCCCACCUAGCGCCCCCUCUGGUCCAGACCUGGGCACGGGCGUGGGCGGCUCAGGUUCUGAGUACCGUGGUUAGGAGGCGGCCGCCCACCUAGCGCCCCCUCUGGUCCAGACCUGGGCACGGGCGUGGGCGGCUCAGGUUCCGAGUACCGUGGUUAGGAAGGAAGUUAUGACCUAUUUUAGUUAAGCUUUGUGGACUAAAAUUUAAUAUAGUAUAGAUAUUAUUGAACCGCGAUCGGGGUUGCAACCUUGGUACUAGAUUCCCUCCUGCUGUCAAAUUUCAUCAUUUUAUUCACAAAGUUCUAUCAUAUUGAACAGAGACAAUUCAAUCUAGGUAGUUUAUUUACACACGUAGAUCUUUCAUAGAUCCAAAUACUAAUUUUCCCCAAGAUGGAGUGGCAGAGCUUAUGACCAAGUCAAACUUUUCUCGUUGGAUUUAGGUCUUUUUUUUGUACCAAUUCAAACUUUUCUAGUUGUGACCAAGUCCGUAGAAAAUUGUACCAAUAUCUACAACAUCAAAUUAGGGGUAUUUGAAUGCACUAGAGAUAAUAGUUAGUGGCUAAAAUUAGCUAGAGACAUCCAAACACCCUAGAUAUUAGCUAUUUACAGUAAAUUAGCUACUCGUUAGCUAACUAUUUGUUAGCUAGCUAAUUCUACUAGUAUAUUUUAGCUAACUAAAUAUUAUCUCUAGUGCAUUCAAACAUCCCCUUAGUUAAUUAAAUCCACAAUUAAAUAUGAGCUGUAGUGCAUUUAUUCCGUAUUGUAUGUAGAUUGUUACUGUAUUUUCUACAAACUUGGUCAAGAUGUUUGACUUGGAACAAAAUGAAACACCAUACAUUUUCGGAACCAAACGUAUAUAAAUUCGUAGGAUGACAGCUUUGCCUACAAAUAGUAGUUACUCUCCAUGGUUAGCUGGGACGGUGUCAUCGCCGUGCCGCUGAAAUUCAGAAUCCCAUUCUGCUCGAUUAUCUGCAUGCACAGGAUUAUAUCUGUUAUGGUUGGCCAGCGCAUCUAUCCAUUCCUAGAUCAGUAGAUCCUAAUGCGAUCUUUCAGAGAGAGUGUUCUUUAUAUAUAAAUAUUAUAAAAGAAAAGCUACGCAGAUUUUGCAAUACCCUUUCCUGAAGCACGCCAUUGACAGCCUGCAGUAUGGCCUCCUGCAAAACAGAAGCGCAAAGAACCUUCGGUGACGGAAAUUGCUGAGCCUGAGCUUUGUUGCAGGAACAGAGCGACAAAUACUGAACCUGACCUUGUUCCUGAGCAUGUCAAUCUCCCUGGAGAUGAUCUGCAUCUGUUCAACAUAUGAGGUCAGUACAUCUGAACUUGCAGAUACUAUUUUUCUUUUUGAAAAAAAGAUUUCAUCUGUGUGUAUCAAGAAGCUAAAACUUACCUUCUGGGAGCGAAUGUUAUUUGCCCACAUUUCAAGAUUAUUUUCCAGGGUCUGGAGCUCGACAAGAUUCAUGUGGUUUAUAUCAUUCUCUCCAUGCAUGUACCUGCAUGGAUGUGCUGAGAUCUGUCAUGAGCCCUGCAAUCGAUUCUAUAAUUUGUGAUUUGUGGAUUCUUGGUAGUUCAACAUGACCAUCAGCUGUACUGGUAAGUUGUUGAACAUAAAUAUAGCUACGAAGCUGCAUCCUCUCCAAAGUUUAUGAAGCUGGAUGGCGGUUUUGUACACGUUUUAGAAAAUAAAAGAAAUAGGAAAGUAAUGGAAGGAACAUCUUUAUUUCAAAAAAAGGACCAUCUUUAGCUACUCACAAAUUCUUCUGAAUUCACAACAGCUCUCCUGGCUACAUCUGUGAAGAGAUGUCAUGCAACUUGUGUUACUCUUAUCCAACCUAGCUUUGUGCUAUCAUUAACACUUUCAGUUCUUUUUCUGAUGCUGCAUGCCGUACACACUAUUGUUUGCAAAAAGCAUGUAGCGCGCAAGACAAUAAAUUUUACUCU
rnacentral:lncRNA from 1 species